rnacentral:rRNA from 1 species
UACGGAGGGUGCAAGCGUUGUUCGGAAUUACUGGGCGUAAAGGGCUCGUAGGCGGCCAACUAAGUCGGAUGUGAAAUCCCCAGGCUCAACUUGGGAACUGCAUCCGAUACUGGAUGGCUUGAAUUCGGGAGAGGGAUGCAGAAUUCCAGGUGUAGCGGUGAAAUGCGUAGAUAUCUGGAGGAAUACCGGUGGCGAAGGCGGCAUCCUGGACCGACAUUGACGCUGAGGAGCGAAAGCUAGGGGAGCAAACGGG